ensembl:snoRNA small nucleolar RNA SNORA55
GCACUCCAGCAAACCAUGUCCUUCAGACUCUGUGUCGGUCAUGGGCAAAGAUUGUGCCAUAGUGACUCAAAGUGUAUCCAGACGGACCUCCCUCUCUAUUGGAACCUGUCUCUACAACUUUGACACAGUC